GACGAACGCUGGCGGCGUGCUUAACACAUGCAAGUCGAACGAAGUGGCGAACGGGUGAGUAAUACGUGGGUAACCUGCCCUCCCUUUUGGGAUAAGCCUUGGAAACGGGGUCUAAUACCGAAUAAAGGGGGAUGGGCUCGCGGCCUAUCAGCUUGUUGGUGGGGUGAUGGCCUACCAAGGCGGUGACGGGUAGCCGGCCUGAGAGGGUGACCGGCCACGUUGGGGAUGAGAUACGGCCAAGAUGCCGACGAGAGGGAGCGGUGGGGGAUAUUGCGCAAUGGGCGAAAGCCUGAUGCGGCGACGCCGCGUGGGGGAUGGGAGCGUUCGGGUUGUAAACCUCUUAGGCUAUCGAACGGGUAGGUGAGGAAGAAGCGCCGGCUAACUACGUGCCAGCAGCCGCGGUAAUUC
rnacentral:rRNA from 1 species